GAGCGCGGGAAGCGAGUGGAUCCCUUCGGGGUGAAGCUCGUGGAACGAGCGGCGGACGGGUGAGUAACACGUGGGCAACCUGCCUGUAAGACCGGAAUAACCCCGGGAAACCGGGGCUAAUGCCGGGUAAUACUUUUCUUCGCAUGAAGGAAAGUUGAAAGAUGGCUUCUUGCUAUCACUUACAGAUGGGCCCGCGGCGCAUUAGCUAGUUGGUGAGGUAACGGCUCACCAAGGCGACGAUGCGUAGCCGACCUGAGAGGGUGAUCGGCCACACUGGGACUGAGACACGGCCCAGACUCCUACGGGAGGCAGCAGUAGGGAAUCUUCCGCAAUGGACGAAAGUCUGACGGAGCAACGCCGCGUGAACGAUGAAGGUCUUCGGAUCGUAAAGUUCUGUUGUUAGGGAAGAACAAGUACCGUGCGAAUAGAGCGGUACCUUGACGGUACCUAACGAGGAAGCCCCGGCUAACUACGUGCCAGCAGCCGCGGUAAUACGUAGGGGGCAAGCGUUGUCCGGAAUUAUUGGGCGUAAAGCGCGCGCAGGCGGUUCCUUAAGUCUGAUGUGAAAGCCCACGGCUCANCCGUGGAGGGUCAUUGGAAACUGGGGAACUUGAGGACAGAAGAGGAGAGUGGAAUUCCACGUGUAGCGGUGAAAUGCGUAGAUAUGUGGAGGAACACCAGUGGCGAAGCNACUCUCUGGUCUGUUUCUGACGCUGAGGUGCGAAGCGUGGGUAGCAAACAGGAUAGAUACCCUGGUAGUCCACGCCGUAAACNAUGAGUGCUAGGUGUUAGGGGGCNUCCACCCCUUAGUGCUGANNUAACGCAUUAAGCACUCCGCCUGGGGAGUACGGCCGCAGGCUGAAACUCAAAGNAUUGACGGGGGNCCCCANAACGGUGGAGCAUGUGGUUUAAUNU
rnacentral:rRNA from 1 species